rnacentral:rRNA from 1 species
UACGUAGGGUGCAAGCGUUAAUCGGAAUUACUGGGCGUAAAGGGUGGGUAGGUGGUUUGUCAAGCCAGAUGUGAAAUCCCCGGGCUUAACCUGGGAAUGGCAUUUGGGACUGAUAGACUAGAGUACGGCAGAGGGGGGUAGAAUUCCACGUGUAGCAGUGAAAUGCGUAGAGAUGUGGAGGAAUACCGAUGGCGAAGGCAGCCCCCUGGGUUGAUACUGACACUCAGACACGAAAGCGUGGGUAGCAAACAGG